rnacentral:rRNA from 1 species
ACGGGUGAGUAACACGUGGAUAACCUACCUAUAAGACUGGGAUAACUUCGGGAAACCGGAGCUAAUACCGGAUAACAUAUUGAACCGCAUGGUUCAAUAGUGAAAGGCGGCUUUGCUGUCACUUAUAGAUGGAUCCGCGCCGUAUUAGCUAGUUGGUAAGGUAACGGCUUACCAAGGCAACGAUACGUAGCCGACCUGAGAGGGUGAUCGGCCACACUGGAACUGAGACACGGUCCAGACUCCUACGGGAGGCAGCAGUAGGGAAUCUUCCGCAAUGGGCGAAAGCCUGACGGAGCAACGCCGCGUGAGUGAUGAAGGUCUUCGGAUCGUAAAACUCUGUUAUCAGGGAAGAACAAAUGUGUAAGUAACUGUGCACAUCUUGACGGUACCUGAUCAGAAAGCCACGGCUAACUACGUGCCAGCAGCCGCGGUAAUACGUAGGUGGCAAGCAUUAUCCGGAAUUAUUGGGCGUAAAGCGCGCGUAGGCGGUUUUUUAAGUCUGAUGUGAAAGCCCACGGCUCAACCGUGGAGGGUCAUUGGAAACUGGAAAACUUGAGUGCAGAAGAGGAAAGUGGAAUUC